AAACUGAAAACUCACCAAGAAAAUAAAGGCUCCCGUAUUUUUCUCCUACGUGUUUAUCACCGAUACAACUUUCUCAUAAACUUCCCCAACUGGAUCUUCUGUUUUUCUUUGUUAGAUUUAGACUGCAAACUCAAUAAAUUUCAUCACAGAAAUCACUUCAAUUUUUUUUUAAACACCUAAUUUUUUUUUGAAGAAACAGUUCCGAAUCCUACGAGUGCAGAAAUUCCUCUUUGUACAUCUUUAUCUUCUACCUUGAAUAUAGAGAUGAACGGAUUUUACUUUCAGAUCGGUAAAAUUUCUCUCUUCUUUCUAAUUAUUAUCGUAUUUCGUUUCUAGGUUAAAAUUAUUGAAUGGAUUGGAGAUCUAAUUUGGCUAGGAAACACCAAAGACAUCGAGAGUAACGAUUUAAAUUAUUCUUCAGAGGAUUCAAACAAGCCAGUUUUGAUUAUCCUAGAGUCUAUUGAUUGUAAGUUUUUUGAUUAUUCCAGAGUCUAUUGAUUGUAAGUUCAAUUCUUGCACUUUUAAGUUUUUUCGAAACUGUAACCUUGAGCUUAAUUGUGGUUGCUAGAUUUGUCUAUAAUGAAAUUGAUUCUGUGAGACAGCAAUAAAAAAGGAACUGCUUUUUUUUAUGUUUUUAUUAUUCUUAAAUAGAUUGACAUAGCAAAAAAAGAACGAAGUACUCCAGGGAUGUCACCAGAAGUCAUGUAUGGUUUUCUCAAUGCUCUGACUGAAGCAGGUAAGUUAGCCAUCAAUAGAAAAGAUUGUCAGUGGUAAGCAGCUAAACUGCUCACCCAACCCUCUUAAUCUUUUUGUCCUUAAUUUAUUUUUCAAAUGUUGUUGCAAAGCCUCGUCUUAGAAGGUUUUACACUUUGUAGAUCUAGGUGUCCCACUGAACCUUGGUCAUGAUUGGGGAACCAUGUAAAAACUACAUAGAAUACAUUUACUAUGUAGGUGCCCUGCAACAUGUUGGAUUGGUCCUUAGCAUAGUUCUUUCUUGUAGUUUCUGAGAUGUAUGAGACGACUCAUUGAAUAAUACAUACUUAGUUACUUGUUGUAUUUGUACAAGAAGAAAAUAAUAAAUUAGCUAUGGCUUAAUUUGUAACAUCAUGAUGUGUUGAAAAUUUGAACAGUGAUAUGGAGGUGAUGCUUGUCCUUAAAGUUCGAGCUAUAUGAGCUCAAACAAUUGUCAAUUCUCAACAUCCAAACACUCCUCUAGGUGAACUUGUUUAUGCUAUAGUAAAUGAAUUUUGUAAGACCAUUUCUUAUUAGUAUUGCUGGUGAUAAUAUUAAUAACUUAGAUUGGUUAGUUAUUACGAUCUAUCGUGGAUUGUGCUUGUUGUACUGGUCAUUCUUUUCAAGGUAAAAACUAAUGGAAUCAAAUUUCUUUUCGAUGACACCUUGCUAUCUUUUUGAUUUUUGUUAGUCAUGUUGAAGUACAAGUUUACAGUUAUUAAUCGCCAUUGCUUCGUAUUUGUACACUGGAUUAAUCUUUGUAUUUCUCUUUCUGCCAAACCUCAUUCACUAGAUGUUUUGACUUUCCCUUGCAGGUUGAGAGAAUAGGUUGAAGAGUCUGGUGAAUCUUGGCACCUGAUGUCGAAAAGUUUCUUGUGAGAUAAAUAAUGGAGUUGUUUUCUAAAUUGAGUUUAGAUUAAAGGUAUAUAGUAACAUGAGUUUCAUGAUUGAUAUGAAAUUUCGAGUAGCUGCAGACGAUUUGUUAGAAUAGAGGUCGCACUAUUCCUUCUAAGGUUGUACAGGAAGAAUCCCGAUGUCAUCAAAGUAGAUGGGGGGAUCUUAGGGAUUGGACGCAUCUUGAAGAAUAUAUAAAGAAGGAAAAGUUGCGUUAGGGAGUGCUAAUUUUUGUACACCACCUAAUGAUGAUUUAAGACACCAAUAGAUAUGGAAAUUAUAAGUAGCAAUAUGGAGUGUUGGAGCAGCAAAAAUAUUUUACUUGCAGCAGCAAAAAAUAUGGAGUGUUGGAGUUGGAGCACUUGGAGAUAUUUUCUCAGGGAUACAAUCGAAUGGCCACAACAACACGUAACUCGUUCACCUUGAAGUUGAAUCAUAAUGUUUUUUCUUAUUUUCUUUUCUGUUAUGUUGAAUAUAUAUGAUUGAAAUAUGUAGUUUUCUUGCUGAACUUGUGAAUGUUUGUUGUUAAGUUAUCAAUUUUUUUUUGAUGGAA